GACGAACGCUGGCGGCGUGCUUAACACAUGCAAGUCGAACGGUGAAGCGCCUUCCUUUUUGGUGGGUGUGGAUGAGUGGCGAACGGGUGAGUAACACGUGAGUAACCUGCCCCCUUCUUCUGGAUAACCGCAUGAAAGUGUGGCUAAUACGGGAUAUUCUGGGUCUGUCGCAUGAUGGGUCUGGGAAAGAUAUUGUUUCGGUGGGGGAUGGGCUCGCGGCCUAUCAGCUUGUUGGUGGGGUGAUGGCCUACCAAGGCGGUGACGGGUAGCCGGCCUGAGAGGGUGGACGGUCACACUGGGGCGGAGACACGGCCCAGACUCCUACGGGAGGCAGCAGGGGGGAAUAUUGCACAAUGGGCGCAAGGCUGAUGCAGCGACGCCGCGUGAGGGAUGGAGGCCUGCGGGUUGUGAACCUCUUUCGCCAGUGAAGCAGGGCUGCCUCGUGUGUGGGUGGGUUGACGGUAGCUGGAUAAGAAGCGCCGGCUAACUACGUG
rnacentral:rRNA from 1 species